rnacentral:lncRNA from 1 species
GCUAAAGUGCCUGAUACUUAGUAUUGAUAAUUUAGUAAAAUGAAGCUUUAGGCUUCAUUAUCUGUAGGCUUGCUCACGUCCUAAGCAGAGUUUCCAAGCUCUGUUCGGGUUCUCUUGUCUCCAUUGCUCUGUAGCCUGCUCUUUAUUUCAGUAUUUUCUGAUCUCUUGCGUAGUGCUUGGUUUAUCUCACACUGUCUUGAUGUACCAAAGUCUUCCUUUACCCCAGGAUUGAGGACCAAAUAAUAACCAAAUAAUGAGUUAAACAGUUAACUUUUAAACCUAUUAUACCUACGGUAGUAGCUUAAAAUGUUAUUGGGAAUAAAUGUUUCCAGAAUAAUUUUCUCAGAUUUGUAUUGGUUAAUAGUAAAAGCACUAGUGUUGUGGUCAGGAAACAGUCAGUAGUGAGUUUUCACAGAAGUUGCUUUGAGAUGAUGGUGCCUGCCACGUGAUGCAGAAAGAUCGAGUUUUUUUGUUUUUUUUUUUUUUUGUUUUCCAUGAGGGUAAAGGUUUGAUUUAGUUGCUACAAAGAGAAACACUUGUACCGUUAAGGUACAAGGCUGGUGCAUAAGCAGUGAUGGACUGAGACCUUUCUCAUGAAGACCAUCUCCUGAUGUGGUACUGUUCCGUUGCACUGUCUUGCACACUGUGGCUGCUCAGCUAACUGCUUUGACUCCUAGGAGUGCCGUGAGCAGAGGUUCUGUGUAAGAGCGUCACUAGUGCCAAGUCCCACACUUCAUCAUGGGUUUCAGGUCAAGUUCUCACUCUCCUGUGCUGGCAAUAAGGCUUUACUACUGACUGAUCUUGUAACAGUGUUGUGAAAUUGAUCGUUCAUGUUUCUGUCUCCGCUCCUUUAUAAAAGGUAAGGUUUAGUUUGAAUGUAAGCCACUCACUUUUCUGGCAACCAGCAACCGUUGACCUGUAGCCUUUUUCUCAGAAACAAAGAAAAGAUGUGCUGUGUGUCUUUACUCGUCAGCAGUGCAUGCUGCAUGUGCUGCAGAUGGCCUGCUUCCUCUGUGUGUAGAGGAGAGGUUUUCUGUGCCAGGAACGGAGCUCUGCGCUGGCACCCCCCCCCCCUUGUUUCACGUCCAGCAGUGUGUGUCUAGGGAAAUGCUAGUGAUUUUCCUGACAACACAAGUUGACAGUGUACCCACAGCAUAAAUAGAUGAAUUCACCCUACUUUCCUAGUGCUGCUAGAUAUAUAAAUUUAUAUAUAAAUAACACACAUACAUUUAAUGUUCAAUUUAUCAAUAUAGCCUAGGCUUCUGAAAAUAGAAUGCUAUUAGUAACUUUUGUGUGUAAGUGGGUGCGUGCGUAAUUUGGAGAUGAAUCGGGCUCAUUGAAAUCUUUAAAUGGCAGAUGCUGGUAUACAAGGUUUUCUGUAGUAUAAUCAAGUUUUGAGAUUCGUGUUUGGGUUGGUGCCUUCUGCUUACCAGUAUUGAUGCGCUAGUUCGCACUUGUCCCUUUCUUAGUAGUAAGCUUUCUCUGUUUUAAACUUGCAACUAGUGAGGGGAACAAGUACAAAGUGCACAUUUCUAUACUUUUAUGCAGUCUUUUGGUUCAAGGAAACAAGGCAGUUGAGUAUCUGUAUUAAUGUUAUUUAUUCAUCUUUAUUUGCUUUUAUAUCUAUAAUUAAAAUUUAAAGUGACAUUAUAAAUUCGUGUCUAUUUUAACUUCAAUGUAGGUUUGUUAAGGGCAUCUGAAGAACAAUAGUUCAUAUUUCCAUGUGUGAGGAGAGGCUAGAGGUCCAUUGAAAGCACAAAACCGUGUUCACGAGUGUGUUUCCACUUGUGAAAAGCACAAAAUUUAAUAGCAUUCUUACUAACCCACAAGUGCCAGUCAUAAACCCACCCAGGCUUUGUCCCAAGUUGUUAGGAAGAUCACAGCCCAGAAAGCCUGGGUGGUGAGCCCACUGUCACAGCCCAGUCCUCAGUGAGAUCCUCUGUCUGUAUGGCUUUGAUGGAGAGAGCAACUGGUUGUAUUUGGGGGUUGCAAGGGAAAAUGAGGCCUGGACUCAGAUCUAAAGCUGAAACAGAGAGUCAGGGUUCUGGUGGACGGAGUAGGUGGCAGCUUUGUAAGUAGUAAUUUGAACAGUUU